ACUAGCACAUCCAUCUGUUGUGCUCUGGAAAAAAAAAGGCCUGACAUCUCCUGACGUCAAAACCCCAAACCGACUGCUGUCGGUUGCCGGAUUGAUUUGCCAACUGCUUCAGAGGCACAAGCGUGAUGCUGGAACACGUGCCGACGUCCCCCGAGAGAGUUUGCAUUCCUCUGAGUGGUUACUGCACAUCAGCUCCGUCAGUCUGAUUUACAUUACAAAUUAAGAAUCAUCUGAUCAAG